rnacentral:rRNA from 1 species
AAUGAACGUUGGCGGCGUGGAUUAGGCAUGCAAGUCGAGCGAGAACCGGUUUCGGCCGGGGACAGCGGCGAACGGCGUAGUAAUGCAUCGGAACGUACCCUCUGGUCGGGGAUAGCUACGGGAAACUGUAGGUAAUACCCGAUGAUCUCUGCGGAGCAAAGGUGAGAUUCCGCCGGAGGAGCGGCUGAUGUGAUAUUAGCUAGUUGGUGGGGUAAUGGCCUACCAAGGCGAUGAUGUCUAGGGGGUGCGAGAGCAUGGCCCCCACGACCGGAACUGAGAUACUGUCCGGACACCUACGGGUGGCUGCAGUCGAGAAUCUCCCGCAAUGGACGAAAGUCUGACGGAGCGACGCCGCGUGCGGGAUGAAGGCCCUUGGGUUGUAAACCGCUGUCAGAGGGGAUGAAAUCUUCGGAGGUACUCCUCCGAAGUUGACAGAGCCUCAAAGGAAGCACGGGCUAAGUACGUGCCAGCAGCCGCGGUAACAC